AGAGUUUGAUCCUGGCUCAGGACGAACGCUGGCGGCGUGCCUAAUACAUGCAAGUCGAGCGGACAGAAGGGAGCUUGCUCCCGGAUGUUAGCGGCGGACGGGUGAGUAACACGUGGGUAACCUGCCUGUAAGACUGGGAUAACUCCGGGAAACCGGAGCUAAUACCGGAUAGUUCCUUGAACCGCAUGGUUCAAGGAUGAAAGACGGUUUCGGCUGUCACUUACAGAUGGACCCGCGGCGCAUUAGCUAGUUGGUGGGGUAAUGGCUCACCAAGGCGACGAUGCGUAGCCGACCUGAGAGGGUGAUCGGCCACACUGGGACUGAGACACGGCCCAGACUCCUACGGGAGGCAGCAGUAGGGAAUCUUCCGCAAUGGACGAAAGUCUGACGGAGCAACGCCGCGUGAGUGAUGAAGGUUUUCGGAUCGUAAAGCUCUGUUGUUAGGGAAGAACAAGUGCGAGAGUAACUGCUCGCACCUUGACGGUACCUAACCAGAAAGCCACGGCUAACUACGUGCCAGCCAGCCGCGGUAAUACGUAGGUGGCAAGCGUUGUCCGGAAUUAUUGGGCGUAAAGGGCUCGCAGGCGGUUUCUUAAGUCUGAUGUGAAAGCCCCCGGCUCAACCGGGGAGGGUCAUUGGAAACUGGGAAACUUGAGUGCAGAAGAGGAGAGUGGAAUUCCACGUGUAGCGGUGAAAUGCGUAGAGAUGUGGAGGAACACCAGUGGCGAAGGCGACUCUCUGGUCUGUAACUGACGCUGAGGAGCGAAAGCGUGGGGAGCGAACAGGAUUAGAUACCCUGGUAGUCCACGCCGUAAACGAUGAGUGCUAAGUGUUAGGGGGUUUCCGCCCCUUAGUGCUGCAGCUAACGCAUUAAGCACUCCGCCUGGGGAGUACGGUCGCAAGACUGAAACUCAAAGGAAUUGACGGGGGCCCGCACAAGCGGUGGAGCAUGUGGUUUAAUUCGAAGCAACGCGAAGAACCUUACCAGGUCUUGACAUCCUCUGACAACCCUAGAGAUAGGGCUUUCCCUUCGGGGACAGAGUGACAGGUGGUGCAUGGUUGUCGUCAGCUCGUGUCGUGAGAUGUUGGGUUAAGUCCCGCAACGAGCGCAACCCUUGAUCUUAGUUGCCAGCAUUCAGUUGGGCACUCUAAGGUGACUGCCGGUGACAAACCGGAGGAAGGUGGGGAUGACGUCAAAUCAUCAUGCCCCUUAUGACCUGGGCUACACACGUGCUACAAUGGACAGAACAAAGGGCUGCAAGACCGCAAGGUUUAGCCAAUCCCAUAAAUCUGUUCUCAGUUCGGAUCGCA
rnacentral:rRNA from 1 species